rnacentral:lncRNA from 1 species
CUCUCAAAUUCUCAUCCACUCUGCACAUUUCUAAUAGGUAAUAGAUUUUAACUGUUUUUUUUUUAAGACCUGAAGUAGCAAAUUCCUUUUAGAAACACUGAAAUAAUACAUACAUGUGGCCUAGAAGGGAUGAGAAUAUCCUCCUUCCACCUUUGGCCAAUCCAUCUCUCUGGAAUAAACGGUACAGAUUUUGAUGUGUGUAUUGUGGAAUCACUUAUACACAUACAAGAUUAUCUCGAUCUGUCUAGCUCUCUUUCUCUCUCUCUACAGGACUUCAUAUAGUAUUGUGCAAGGUGGAACUAACAUAGGGUUCCUCAACGAAAUAAUGGCAUCCAGGAUGAUAUCAAUCCCAGGCCAGCCUUCUAACUCUAUGUACUCAAAAUGUAGUGAAAAGCCUCUAUGUUACCCAUGGAAAACCAUCGUGCAAAUAGUAUUGCUGUCUCUCGAUGCCGUAUCAGAUGAACAUGAGAAAACAAACAAACACCAAAAGAACAGAUUCCUACCAUUCUAGAAAUGCAACCCCCCACAAGUACAACUUCCAUUAGAAAAAGGUGCAGGAACACUGAGAAAUCACUCACUUCAAAGCCUAGGCCUGCAAAUCUUGCCCAGGUCUGAGGAAGGCCUGAAAGAUAGAGCCUUGGGAGCUCAUGUAAUGCUCCAUGAUGCAAGGGCAACAUGGAAUUAAUGCAGCCCUGUUAAGUUUCUCAAGAUUCACGGGCUUGAAAGCCACACAUUUCUGAGAAUCUGUGAUGAUGAAGAUUGCACUGAAUGUUGUCUACUUGAAGAAAUCCCUGGAGAAGCUUACUGCAUUGGAAAGAGACACAUAUCUGACAGCAUGUUACAACAGGAAUUUUGGACUGGACACUGAGAUAACUCAUUUUACAAUGAAGUGAGUGGUGAUGUCGAGCACCCUGGAGGGUUUGUGCCUAUCCAAAGACACAGCCCACUCAUGCUGCACCAAAAAUUACUCCUCUGGCUCCCCCAGACACUGCACUGAGGAUUCCUCCAAAAUGGCAGAUCCUCAAUCAACAUUGGAGCACCUGUGUAGAAUGAAGCCUUCUGCAUCAGUGGGAGUUUCCAUGGCUUUUC